AAAGACUGACCUUAAAAGUUUGAAACUUUUUUCUCGAUUUUUCGACAGUUUUU
rnacentral:tRNA from 1 species